rfam:Bombyx mori DNA, contig: Bm_scaf11_contig9468, strain: p50T/Dazao, build 2, whole genome shotgun sequence.
AUACUUACCUGGCGUAGGGGAUACCGUGAUCAUGUAGGCGGUUCCCCCAGGGCGAGACCAUGCCAUAGCACUGCCGGUGAGGUUGACCCCUGUGAUUACCCCUAAUGUGGGUAACUCGGACGCGUAAUUUUUGGUAGUGGAGACUGCGUUCGCGCUGUCUCCUA